rnacentral:rRNA from 1 species
UACGUAGGGUGCAAGCGUUGUCCGGAAUUAUUGGGCGUAAAGAGCUUGUAGGCGGUUUGUCGCGUCUGCUGUGAAAACGCGAGGCUCAACCUCGCGCCUGCAGUGGGUACGGGCAGACUAGAGUGCGGUAGGGGAGAUUGGAAUUCCUGGUGUAGCGGUGGAAUGCGCAGAUAUCAGGAGGAACACCGAUGGCGAAGGCAGAUCUCUGGGCCGUAACUGACGCUGAGGAGCGAAAGCGUGGGGAGCGAACAGG